rnacentral:rRNA from 1 species
CCUAAGAUAUUUAAAAGACAGCUCUUCGCUUGCCACUAAUUGAGAGUUUUGAUACUACAUCUUGAGUCAAGCUAACUGCUGUUUUUAGAUGAGCGUAUGUAGGAUUAGGUUGUUGGUAGGGUAAAAGCUUACCAAGCCGAUGAUCCUUAGUUGGUCUGAGAGGAUGAUCAGCCACACUGGAACUGAGACAAGGACCAGGCUUAAAGCCAGCAGUGGGGAAUCUUGGACAAUGAGCGAAAGCUUGAUCCAGUAAUACUGCGUGAAUGAGGAAGGCAAAAAAGAUUUAGAGUCGUUAAAAGCUUUGGAUCGGUCGUAAAGUUCUUUCACUAGUGAAGAUUAUGACUUUAAUUAGAGAAGAAGCCCCGGCUAACUUCGUGCCAGCAGCCGCGGUAAUACGAAGGGGGCAAGCGUUAUUCGGAAUGAUUGGGCGUAAAGAGUUCGUAGGCUGUAUUAUGGGUUACUCGUAAAAAACUAGGUUUAUUGCCUAGGAAUACUUUUAAUACUCUGUUACUUGAGUACGACAGAGGAUAACAGAAUUUCAUACAUAGGGGUAAAAUCCUAUCAUUUAUGAAGGAAUGUCUGUGGCGAAAGCGGUUAUCUGGGUCUUUUACUGACGCUGAGGGACGAAAGCGUAGGGAGCAAACAGGAUUAGAUACCCUGGUAGUCUAUGCCGUCAAAUAUGAGUGCUAAUACUGGAAAUCUUUCUGGUAUACAGCUAACGCGUUAAGCACUCCGCCUGGGAAGUACGAUCGCAAGAUUGGAACUCAAAGGAAUUGACGGGGGUCUACACAAGUGGUGGAGCAUGUGGUUUAAUGCGAUAAUACACGCAAAAUCUUACCAGUUCUUGUAUAUAAUGUUGUAGUUUUUUUAUUUAAACUAUUAUUAAGAUUUAGUCUUGAAUACUGUUUCAUGAUAAAUUUAUACAGGUGUUGCAUGGCUGUCGUCAGCUCGUGCCGUGAGGUGUUUGGUUAAGUCCUUUAACGAGCGCAACUCUUCUCUUAUAUUGGUACAGCUUUUAGAGCAAUCUGAAAAAACAACACUUAAGAUACUGCUAAUGAUAAAUUAGAGGAAGGUGAGAAUGACGUCAAGCCCUUAUGGCCCUUAUGGA